GUGGCUGAGCCUAACUACUACUCGAACGAGUCGUCUCCCUCAGUCCCCAUUUCUCUUUCUCUUCCCUAACACACAGAUGCACAUCAGGUUCGAUCUAUCUAUUCCGACCAACUCCAGCGCCAUGGUGAAUACCUACAAUCUCCUGAUGACCUCAACAACUCCAUCCCCUCAAUCGCUGCUUUCCAAAGCAUGGCGCGCGGCCAUGGCCGAUGCUACUCGCGGCUUCACGCAAGGCCCAGCGACCAUGGACGGCGCCGACGCUAUCGCGGCCGAGCCUGUCGCGUCCAGGCCGUCGGCACCACGAGAGUAGUGCCGGCCAGACUGCAGGGUGUGGCCGGUGAUGAUCCCUACUUCUACUCCUGCUCUACAACUACGCAAGAGAGCAUGAAGAGGAAGAUGUUACAAGUGCAAGGUAACAACACAAGCAGGUGGCCGUGCUACUACCUGAUGAAACACCACGAAGGAUCAAUCAGAGAUGCCCAACAAUGACUAUGCAAGGAUACUAGAUGUGGUGGGGAAAAGUGGUAGUCUGAGAGAGAGGAGUGUGCGGUCGAAAAUGUGGAGCAGUGAAAAGGACUGACUAUUUAUAGUAGGGAGAGGCUAGGUCGGUUUAGCACAAUUUGUGCCAGGUGGGCUGCAUGCACAGCUUUGAUGUACAUGCGUGUGUACACUUGUAUCUCUUCUAGCUGUAAUUUUUACAAGUGGGUGAAAGUGAGCUGGUGUGAGUUGGCUAUUACCUUGCCAUUAAGCAAUUGUAGGCAGGGACUAAUUUGUAAAUUUCGAAUUUUUAUUAGGGGAUGAAAAGUGAAACUGAUGUAUAAGAACUUUGUAAGAAAAUAUUGCUGGGACUUUGGUGAUUGAAUUUUAUUUAAUAUGAGAUUAGCGUGAAAUCAUGUUUA